UGACUAAGCAUGCACUACCCAGAUAGAUC
rnacentral:piRNA from 1 species